rnacentral:rRNA from 1 species
GACGAACGCUGGCGGCGUGCUUGACACAUGCAAGUCGAACGAGACGAUUGAAAGCUUGCUUUUGAAAGUCGAGUGGCAAACGGGUGAGUAACGCGUAGACAACCUGCCUUUGAGAUGAGGACAACAGUUCGAAAGGACUGCUAAUACCGAAUGUUGUAUAUUUUCCACAUGGAAGAUAUAUUAAAGAUGGCCUCUAUUUAUAAGCUAUCGCUCAAAGAUGGGUAUGCGUCUGAUUAGCUAGUUGGUGGGGUAACGGCCUACCAAGGCGACGAUCAGUAGCCGGUCUGAGAGGAUGAACGGCCACAUUGGGACUGAGACACGGCCCAGACUCCUACGGGAGGCAGCAGUGGGGAAUCUUCCACAAUGGACGAAAGUCUGAUGGAGCAACGCCGCGUGAGUGAAGAAGGGUUUCGGCUCGUAAAGCUCUGUUGUCGGGGACGAAUGUGCAGUAUUUGAAUAAAGUACUGUAAUGACGGUACCUGACGAGGAAGCCACGGCUAACUACGUGCCAGCCGCCGCUGUAA